UUUAAUAUUCCACUGAAAAGAGAGUUCUGGAGGGUAGGGGAAGAGGAGGGAGGAAUUGGACGGAGCCCCUCGAACGGUGCUUCUUAUGAUCCUGCUUACUUUGGCGGAGGAACCAGACUCACCGUGUUGGAGCGCAACAUUUCGUACCCAGAAGUGCAAAUCCUGCCACCAUCCAGUCAGGAAAUCGAGGACAAGAAGCGCGUCACACUGGUUUGUGUGGCAACUGGUUUCUACCCUGACCAUAUCACUAUUACGUGGUACCUCAAUGACCGGCGGGAUGAGAGGUCCGUACAAGAUGAGACAGCCGUGCAGGCGCCGGACAAGACGUACAGCAUCACGAGCCGCCUCCGGAUCUCGGUGAAGGAAUGGCAGAGGAGCAGGAACAAAUUCAAAUGCCACGUGGAGUUUUAUGCUGAGAACGGCACCAAGUCCUUUACAAAAGAAAUCCAAGGAAAAAAAUGUGGAUUUACUGCAGAUAAAUUAAUGAGCACAGGAAACCUCGCUGUGUUUUCAUACUUGCUGUUCCUGGGGAAGAGUGCCCUGUUUGCCCUGUUUGUCAUCGUCUUUAUAAUUAAAUUGAAGGACUCCACAACCAGGAAAUUCACAGACUAAGACCAACUGAGACGAAAUGAUCAAGCAGCUUCAGUUUAAGACAUUUUAAUUUUGACAUUGGACAAGGUGCUGCCCACGUCACAUAUGUGAAAAUUCUUUUUCAGCAGACUUCUCUUUGAAACAUUCAAAAAUGGUUUUCUUUAAUAUCUUGCUUGUGUAUUAGAUGUUGCUUUAGGCUGCAUGUUAGUUCUCCUAUGUAAAUAGAAAUAAGAUCCAGGUGAGCGUAAAUGUUCCACAUAUUUGUGAAUCAUGAAUUACUGAAGAUGAAUGGUACAAAAAUAGGUAAAAUGCAAAAAACAUCUUUAACGAAUGCUAUUCAACCAAUAUAUUGGAACCCAACAUUUCUGAAACUUUGUAUUAACCUUAGAAAAAAACAAAACGCAAGCAGUUUUAACUCAUUUCAU